GACGUAGUUUGAUCAUGGCUCAGAACGAACACUGGCGGCGUGGUUUAGGCAUGCAAGUCGAACGUGAAAGUUUCCUUCGGGAAAUGAGUAAAGUGGCGAACGGGUGAGUAACGCGUGGGAAACCUUCCCUUCGUUGGGGGAUAACAGUUCUAACGAGCUGCUAAUACCGCAUACGACCCUUGGAUCGCAUGGUCCGGGGGUGAAAGGGGGGCCUCUCUUUGAAGCUCCCGACGAUGGAUGGUCCCGCGUCCCAUUAGCUAGUUGGCGGGGUAAUGGCCCACCAAGGCGACGAUGGGUAGCCGGCCUGAGAGGGUGUCCGGCCACACUGGGACUGAGAUACGGCCCAGACUCCUACGGGAGGCAGCAGUCGAGAAGCUUCGGCAAUGGGCGAAAGCCUGACCGAGCGACGCCGCGUGAGCGAAGAAGGCCCUAUGGGUUGUAAAGCUCUGUCAGAUUGGGAAGAAAACCUCGUGGUUAAUACCCGCGAGGCUUGACGGUACCAUCAGAGGAAGCACCGGCUAACCCCGUG
rnacentral:rRNA from 1 species